AGAGUUUGAUCAUGGCUCAGAAUGAACGUUGGCGGCGUGGAUUAGGCAUGCAAGUCGAACGAAUCCCGUAGCAAUACGGGGGAAGUGGCGGAAGGGGCAGUAAGGCAUAGGUAACCUACCCCGGGGCGGGGCAUAGCCAUUCUAACGACUGGGUAAUUCCCCGCGAUGUGUCGUGACCGCAUGGUCGUGCCACGAAAGAAUUUCGCCUCGGGAGGGGCCUAUGUGAUAUUAGCUAGUUGGCGGGGGAACGGCCCACCAAGGCUCAGAUGUCGAGCGGGUGUGAGAGCACGACCCGCGCCACUGGCACUGAGACACUGGCCAGACACCUACGGGGGGCUGCAGUCGAGGAUCUUCGGCAAUGGGCGCAAGCCUGAACGAGCGACGCCGCGUGAGCGAUGAAGGCCUUCGGGUUGUAAAGCUCUUUAGGGGGGGAGAAAAACUGAUCUAUCCCCAAAAUAAGCUCGGGCUAAGUUCGUGCCAGCCGCCGCGGUAAUUC
rnacentral:rRNA from 1 species